CGGGAAGUGGCUUAGCUUGGUAUAGCGCCUGGUUUGGGACCAGGAGGUCGCAGGUUCAAAUCCUGUCUUCCCGACCA
rnacentral:tRNA from 1 species